AGUGAACGCUGGCGGUAGGCCUAACACAUGCAAGUCGAACGGCAGCACAGUAAGAGCUUGCUCUUACGGGUGGCGAGUGGCGGACGGGUGAGGAAUACAUCGGACUCUACUUUUUCGUGGGGGAUAACGUAGGGAAACUUACGCUAAUACCGCAUACGCCCUACGGGUGAAAGCAGGGGAUCUUCGGACCUUGCGCGAUUGAAUGAGCCGAUGUCGGAUUAGCUAGUUGGCGGGGUAAAGGCCCACCAAGGCGACGAUCCGUAGCUGGUCUGAGAGGAUGAUCAGCCACACUGGAACUGAGACACGGUCCAGACUCCUACGGGAGGCAGCAGUGGGGAAUAUUGGACAAUGGGCGCAAGCCUGAUCCAGCCAUACCGCGUGGGUGAAGAAGGCCUUCGGGUUGUAAAGCCCUUUUGUUGGGAAAGAAAAGCAGCAGGUUAAUACCCCGCUGUUCCGACGGUACCCAAAGAAUAAGCACCGGCUAACUUCGUG
rnacentral:rRNA from 1 species